UAAUUUAAUGGCCGCGGUAUUUUGACCGUGCAAAGGUAGCAUAAUCAUUAGUUUAUUAAUUGUGAACUUGUAUGAAUGGUUUUACGAAACAUUAGCUGUCUCAUAUUUAAUAUUAUAAUUUAAAUUUUGAGUUAAAAUGCUUAAAUUUUUUUAUAGGACGAGAAGACCCUAUAGAUCUUUAUUAUAGUUUUAAUUAAUUUAUUUGGAUUUUUUUUUAUUUAUUAUUAUUAUUGUUUUAUUGGGGUGAUAUUGAGAUAUAUAAAACUCUUAAUUUAUUUAAACAUUUAUUUAUGUUUAUUUGACCUUUUAUUAAUGUUAAAAGAUUUAGAUACCUUAGGGAUAACAGCGUAAUUUUUUUUGAGAGUUCAUAUCGAUGAAGGAGAUUGCGACCUCGAUGUUGGAUUAAGAAUAAUGUUAGGUGUAGUUGCUUAAUUUUUGAGUCUGUUCGACUUUUAAAUUCUUACAUGAUCUGAGUU
rnacentral:rRNA from 1 species